CUCACCCCUCUAAUGUCCCAGUAGCCCAGAAUCAUCGGCAUGGCGCUCGCAGCUCCUCGGCUCGCUCGCUAACACGGUGGACGCUCCGCUUCGCGGGAAGUUGAGCCCGGCAGCCUACAGAGGUGUGCCGGAAGCUCCAGCCAGCAUGUAGCCGCAUGUGCAGAUCCUGGUGCUUCUGCUGAGCCCUGCAGCUCCAGCUUAUCUCCUCCAGGCCUUUGUGGCACCGCUUUAGCUCGUUCCCUCCCCCGGUACACUUGGCUCGGGGUUGCGUACCACCUGCCAGGUGCUAAAGUACCACUGGGUACCACCAGUUGAAAAUCCCUGGACUAGAAGGCCUCCAAGGUCCUUUCCAGAUCUAUUCUGAUUGAAAAUGCUCCCCACGAACUUAAUCUGCCUUUCCCCUACUGAAGGAAGCAGAAGCUCAAGAAACAGACACAGAGUAACAUAGUUUGUUACUUAAACACCAUUUAGGAACUUUUCUAUUCAUAUUAUAAAAUGUAACCUCCCUUGCUGCAACAUUGGAGCCCAAAUUUAAAGUGGGGAAACAGACCAAGGAAGGAUUAAGAACAGAGUAUUUUUUUCAUUUUCUUAUAUUCUUUAUUAGGCGAACAUGUGCCUUAGAAUGAUAAUAAAAUUUGAAAAUAUGGAAGACUAA